UCCUGUAAGUGAAAGUUUACUUUGUAACACAUGAUGCCUAAUAUUAGGUUUUUUUAAGUUAAACCACCCACACGUGUGUUGCAAUCAAUAAACAGAUCAUUGUACUCAAGCCUGCAUAGCUGGAAAUGUACAGAACUUUCAUGUCUUCCACCAAAACCAGCUGCUUGGCUUUGGCCAGAACCAGAUGGACUUGUGCAGGUGAAUGGUGCUGCCUGUUCAGGUGCCUCAGCCCUUCAGGAUCGCAUUGAGAACCAAGGCAGGGCAUCAGGAAGGAGCAAAGGCAAAAAUCUGAGGCCAAUCAGAUCCAGAUUUCAUCCCGAGAAGAGCAAAAUAUACGGCCGGGUCACUCCAACAGCUCCAGUGCAAUCACUGCUCUCAUCUGUUUGUAAAUGUCCUUUGACUUGCUCUUGAUCUUGGCAAGAAGCCUCACAGUUGAGGCUUUGGCUCUCCACCCGAGAAGGAAUAUUUAGGCCAAUACGGACACUUGAAUCUCUCAGUCCUCAAAGAAACUGAUAAAAUUAUGGACAAGUUCCAUUAGACAAUACUGUUUUGUGCUUAUUUACUUAGAAUGAGGCUGUGCGUGAGGCUCUUUAUCUCCAAGGGGAGUGAGAAAUGUGCAGCAGGGAGCAGAGGCGCGGAGCUGGACGUGGUGUCACCACCCAGCUCCCCCCAGGCGCAGGGCUGACAGCGUUACCGCUCCGGCCAGCAGCAAUGAAGCCUCUCUGGGGAGGGAGCGUGACUCAGAGGGGUGUCUGAAUCAUCAGGGCUUCCCCUGGGUGAGGCUGGGCUUGUGCAGACUGCCUGUCCACGUGUCUGGGCAUGGAGAUGGGGAAGGAGACGUGCUGCACCCGGACGGCCCUGUUAGGGACCUGCAGCUGCAGAGCAGCGUGGAGGUGAGAUGUGGCACCAGCAAACACUGCUCCUAUGGCAGCUUGGUAUUUGCAUUUGGGGGCUGUUUUCACUUCAGUGGUGCUACAACCCAUGGCUGCUUCCCUGCUAAGUUAACAAUGAUGUGAGGACAGAAAUGAGGGGCUGCUGCAGACGACAUGGGCCUUCUGACAUUUUCGGCUGUUUUCCACCCACCCUUGAUAAAUCAUCUCAGGCCCCAAAUGGAUCUGUGAUCUGUACCACAUGCUUGGAAUGAAGUGCUAAUUAAAUACUUCUACUUGAUGUAGACAACAUUUCUUUGAAAAGAUGGUAAUGUGCUACAGAUGCCAUGCAUUCCCAUAGGGAUGGAGGAAGCGAGCAGUGCUGGUAGGUCGCCCUGCUCGAGAAGAGUGGGAUGUAACAUGGCAGCUCAUGGCUGGUAAGGCUGCACGCCGACACUGCGCUCAUCUGGGCCUAAGUCCCUCGUGUGGUCCCUCAUUGUGAACACAGAUGUGUGUCACAGAUACCUCCAUACUCUGACACCUGUGCAAUAAUGGUGGAGUCUGAGUGUUUGAGAGGCACUCAGUGCCUGAAGUCAAGCAGGUUACAGCUGGUGGAUAGUGCAGACAUAGAGAUGGAUCUUCCUGGGUUGAGGCCCGGCCAUGCCUGUUGGGAUGGCAAGUAGUUCCUGGUUGGGGCUGUCCUAGUGCAGGACAGAACUCCAUAGCAAAGGAAAUGAAAGGCAUUGGGUUUAGCACAAGAACUGAUGUCCAUUCUGGCAGAAGAGGAAGGCUGACAAUCCAGUCCAGAGCAGCUGGAAGGUUCUGCUGAGAUUAUUGCCGUUGAAAUCAUGAUUAAUCUUUACAUUUCAGGGUCAGCAGGCACCAAGCACAGAAGAGCCAGAUCACCCAGCUUUUGGGUAGGCUCACGCAGUGAAUGGGCCAUAUGUUUGAGUCCAUUUCCAAGUCCAGACUUGCAGACAAGCAGCUUGCUGCAGGCUUGAGGCCAGCUCUCGCUUUGUCUCGAGGGAAUAUUUUGAGCAAAAUGGGUGUCUUUAUGGAGACCCAGGCUCUUCUCAGCAUAAUCUGCGUGCACUAGACAAAAGCAGCGCUGUGCAUGUAGGAGUUCAGUUUCCCAGUGUGAAUCCUGAGCUUGGAUCAAACCACUCUCUGGACACAAAUUACCACCAGGCCAACACCAGCCAAGUGGACGGAGACUGUACGUCAUGGGGCUCAUCUCCUGCACACAGCACUUUUCUCUAGAGGACCAGACAUCUGGACUGUCCUUUUUGUGAAGGUAAACCCUUGGGUAUCUGAGAGGCUGUGAGAAGUGCCUGCACUUUCUUGAGCUGUGGUGUCAGGGAUGGGCAGGAGAGAGGCUGCCCUGCAGGACAGGGUGUGCUCGGGGCAUGUCAGCUGCGGUGGUCUGAAUGCACCCCCUGCACAAACAGAGCAAGUAGAAUGGAAAAAAUAAACCAGAAAAUGCAAUUUUCAUGGAAUGGUGGUUACUUCCAGGGCUGGAAAAAAUCUCUGAUAUGCCAGGGUCAGGAUGGGAAGAAAAGAUCCAGAUUAGGCAUAGAUACCAGAUGGGAGUAAAAGGACUGUGGGCCAGGACUGCCAGCUUUAAUUAGUUUGUGCUAAUGAGCAUUGUUAGUAGGCUGCCUUAUGAUACAUCAGUUUGCUCUUUGAGAUGGAUGAUGGAGCUUGAAUGCCAGUGAUGUGUUGGUGCAGGUGACAUAACAUUCAUGUAGGAUGUCCAGAUCCCCAGGUGGCAAUUCCCAUAAUGCCAGUGUUUUGGGGGCUUAGUGGUGAUGCAUUAGAUCUCACAUUUACAGUGAAUGCAAGUGUAAACUGGAGAAGCAGCUGUGCACUGCGGAGUUAAUAGGUGGGAGGGAAAAGCCCCGUUCUUUCUGUUUUCAUUAUGACACAUUUUGCUUUGAAUUGCAGCCAGUGUGAGCCACUUCUGCCUGCGAACAGCAAACACCCGCUUCUCACCAUGCUCUCCCCCGGCCCCGCAGCUCUGCCCAGCAGAAAUGGGCACUCACAGAUCCCGAGCUGCAAACUGAACCCUCUCCUUUUCUCUUCUGAGGGUUGCAGGCUUGUAAAUAUCUGAAGUGGCGUAGU